rnacentral:rRNA from 1 species
UACGAAGGGGGCUAGCGUUGCUCGGAAUUACUGGGCGUAAAGCGCACGUAGGCGGCUUUCUAAGUCGGGGGUGAAAUCCUGGAGCUCAACUCCAGAACUGCCUUUGAUACUGGAGAGCUCGAGUCCGGGAGAGGUGAGUGGAACUGCGAGUGUAGAGGUGAAAUUCGUAGAUAUUCGCAAGAACACCAGUGGCGAAGGCGGACUCACUGGCCCGGUACUGACGCUGAGGUGCGAAAGCGAGGGGA